UACAGAGGUCUCAAGCGUUGUUCGGAUUCAUUGGGCGUAAAGGGUGCGUAGGUGGCGGGGUAAGUCGGAUGUGAAAUCUCAGGGCUCAACCCUGAAACUGCAUUCGAUACUGCCUUGCUCGAGGACUGGAGAGGAGAUUGGAAUUCACGGUGUAGCAGUGAAAUGCGUAGAUAUCGUGAGGAAGACCGGUGGCGAAGGCGGGUCUCUGGGCCGAUACUGACGCUGAGGAGCGAAAGCGUGGGGAGCGAACAGG
rnacentral:rRNA from 1 species